GAUGAACGCUGGCGGCGUGCCUAACACAUGCAAGUCGAGCGGCAGCGAGGGGUGCUUGCACCCUGUCGGCGAGCGGCGGACGGCUGAGUAGCGCGUGGGAACGUGCCCCAAAGUGAGGAAUAACUGCCCGAAAGGGUAGCUAAUACCGCAUAUUAUCUUCGGAUCAAAGGAUUUAUCCGCUUUGGGAGCGGCUCGCGUCGGAUUAGGUAGUUGGUGAGGUAAUGGCUCACCAAGCCGACGAUCCGUAGCUGGUCUGAGAGGAUGACCAGCCAGACUGGAACUGAGACACGGUCCAGACUCCUACGGGAGGCAGCAGUGAGGAAUCUUACACAAUGGGCGAAAGCCUGAUGGAGCAACGCCGCGUGCAGGACGAAGGCCUUCGGGUUGUAAACUGCUUUUAUAAGUGAGGAAUAUGACGGUAACUUAUGAAUAAGGAUCGGCUAACUACGUG
rnacentral:rRNA from 1 species